rnacentral:rRNA from 1 species
AUUGAACGCUGGCGGCAGGCCUAACACAUGCAAGUCGAGAGGAGCGGCGGACGGGAGAGUGAUGACUAGGAAUAAGACUGGCAGUGGGGGAUAAAUGACGGAAACGGGCGCUAAUACCGCAUACUAUCAGAUGAGCCUAGGUCGGAUUAGCUAGUUGGUGGGGUAAAGGCCUCCAAAGGCGACGAUCCUUAACUGGUCUGAGAGGAUGAUCAGUCACACUGGAACGGAGACCCGGUCCAGACUCUGACGGGAGGCAGCAGUGGGGAAUAUUGGACAAUGGGCGCAAGCCUGAUCCAGCCAUACCGCGUGGGUGAAGAAGGCCUUCGGGUUGUAAAGCCCUUUUGUUGGGCAAGCGGUACCCAAAGAAGAAGCACCGGCUAACUUCGUGCCAGCAGCCGCGGUAAUUC